GUACGGACGUAAUAACCGUACUGAUAUCCUAUGCAGGCAUCUAACUAGGAUUAAAGGUUUAGCGGUAAGGGAUGGGGAUGCGUCUGAUUAGGCAGUUGGCGGGGUAACGGCCCACCAAACCGACGAUCAGUAGGGGUUCUGAGAGGAAGGUCCCCCACAUUGGAACUGAGACACGGUCCAAACUCCUACGGGAGGCAGCAGCA
rnacentral:rRNA from 1 species